UACGGAGGAUCCAAGCGUUGUCCGGAUUUAUUGGGUUUAAAGGGUGCGUAGGCGGAUAAUUAAGUCAGUGGUGAAAUCUUGCGGCUCAACCGUAAAAUUGCCAUUGAAACUGAUUAUCUUGAGUACAGUUGAGGUGGGCGGAAUGUAUCAUGUAGCGGUGAAAUGCUUAGAUAUGAUACAGAACACCUAUUGCGAAAGCAGCUCACUACACUAUUAUUGACGCUGAGGCACGAAAGCGUGGGGAUCAAACAGG
rnacentral:rRNA from 1 species